GUUGCAAGGGGACAUCCGAUAAAAUUGAAAUGAUACCAAGAAAUUAGCAUGUCCCCUACGCAAGGUUGACAAGUAAAUCGAAAAAUUGUCCAAAUUUUUU
rnacentral:snRNA from 1 species